rnacentral:rRNA from 1 species
UACGUAGGGGGCAAGCGUUGUCCGGAUUUAUUGGGCGUAAAGAGCGUGUAGGCGGCCUUGCAGGUCAGCUGUGAAAACUCGAGGCUCAACCUCGAGACGUCGGUUGAAACCGCAAGGCUAGAGUCCGGAAGAGGAGAGUGGAAUUCCCGGUGUAGCGGUGAAAUGACGCAGAGUAUCGGGAAGAACACCCGUGGCGAAGGCGGCUCUCUGGGACGGUACUGACGCUGAGACGCGAAAGCGUGGGGGAGCGAACGAGG